UCAUUCAACUCUAUCAGUGAUACUCGAGCGGAUCAAUCGCAAAAGCAAACUCCCUAUAAAUACGGUAUAAAUCAGGCACUCUGUCAAUUCUUACUUUUUAAUACCAAUAAACAGUUUAUAGCGAUGACGACGUUCAUUCGAUUUAUUAACUUGUUAUUUUUGUAAAUUCGAAACUUUGCUUGAGAAAAGCUUUGUGAUUAGUGAGUGACGAUUUUUCUGUGUGCUGCUUUGUGUAUUGUUGGCGGAAAACAUGCGGUUACUACUGGUUCUGUCCGUAACACUGCCCUUGCUGCUGGAAGCCACCAAGGAGAUCACCGAAGACAAAAGCACCUUGUAAGUUCGGGUACGGAACCGAUCGGUUCCACCGAUGCCGGAAGCUGUUAUACUAGAGGCGAUGAAAAAAGAAUCUGAACGCUGAAACUGUCGACAUGUUUGAAGGGACGCCGGAUUAAAACUUCGAAGCGUUACACGCAGAAAACUUUUUCGACAACUAGAGUUAUGAUGAAAAUAUAGACAGUUGUUAUUGUGUCUUACUUAAUUAUUGCUUUAGUGAUAAGUGUCUAGAAAUGUGAGUGAAUAACUAUAUAAAUUAAGUGUAAUGUAACAACCAAUUUUAUGAAUAGAAUAAUCUCCUACACUAUGAAGUAAA